rnacentral:rRNA from 1 species
GCAAGUCGCACGAGAACGCUUCAGCUUGCUGAAGUUAGUAAAGUGGCGCACGGGUGAGUAUCGCGUGGGUAAUCUACCCCCGAAUUGGGGAUAACAUCGCGAAAGUGAUGCUAAUACCGAAUAAUAUCCUAAAAACAUCUGUUUUCUGGAUCAAAGGUGGCCUCUACAUGUAAGCUAUUGUUUGGGGAUGAGCCCGCGUACCAUUAGCUUGUUGGUAGGGUAAUGGCCUACCAAGGCAACGAUGGUUAGCUGGUCUGAGAGGAUGAUC